UCGGUCCCCCCACCAUCUACUUUCUGUCUCUGUGGAUUUGAUGACCCUGGGGACCUCGUGGUCAUCAGAGAGCUGUCGGCGAAGGCUCUGCAUAACCUGGCCCAGCGAGCACCCGAGUACAGCGCUGCUCACGCCUCUGCAGGAUGGGCCUUAGCCAAGGCACAGAGCUGCCCCAGUGCUGCGUCCUGAAGAGGAGGGCGGCUGGUGUGUGCUGGUCACACCCCGUGGCCGCUGAGGACCCGUGGUUUCGCAUCACGUGUUUUCUACUUGGAGUCAGUGAGCAUCUGAUUGCGAUGCAGGGGCAAGACACACAAAAUGCCACAUGUUCCUGUUAGAGUGUCAGUGGUUGGGUCUCGCCUCCUUUGGAGUCACCAGUGUUACAAACGUGUAUAAAUGUGAUUAAAGCCUUUCACAUUAAGUGAAUCUGUCUGGUACUGACUUUCUUUGAAUAAGUGGUCCUUGCUGCCUGAAUAAAGGUGCUCAGCAUCGUCCUUUCCUCCCAGUGGGAGCGUGAAUGGCCCCAGGAUAAGGGAGUCCUGGAUGUGCUGGCCGUGCCCAGUGGCAGUGGCAGUGGGGCCCUGUGGGGGCCUCCCCUGGCUUUCGCAGCUGCAUUUGGGGAAGCUGAGCUUAGCAGGCAGAGAUGUUGUGGACACGGCCCCUUAUCUGCACUCUGUAGCAGGCUGCAGGGGCCUGUGGCUCUGCUCUCUGUCCCCAGAGUACAGAAGGCAGGGCCUCCCUGUGUCCUGAGCAGAGAGGGCACUUCCUGCACAGGGUGCACCGUGUGUGGACAGCGGGCCCCUGCGCUCAGCCCCGUCCUGUCUGCCCUACGGAAAGACGGACAGGCAUGUUUUCCUUCUUCCUCGUGCUCCCUUGUCACCCCACACUACCCACUUUGUGCCCGGGGGGAUGUGGGGAGACAGAGGCAUCCCCCAAGAGCUGAGGCAGAGCUUGGCAUUUGUAGGCUUCAGUCCAGCCCUGGGGGUGCAGCAGCUGUUCUGGCGGUGCCUCUGUGCGGCAGC